rnacentral:misc_RNA from 1 species
GUGAAUCAUCGAAUCUUUGAACGCACAUUGCGCCCGCCAGUAUUCUGGCGGGCAUGCCUGUUCGAGCGUCAUUUCAACCAUCAAGCCCCCGGCUUGUGUUGGGGACCUGCGGCUGCCGCAGGCCCUGAAAACCAGUGGCGGGCUCGCUAGUCACUCCGAGCGUAGUAGUUACAUCUCGCUCAGGGCGUGCUGCGGGUUCCGGCCGUUAAAAGCCUUAUUUACCCAAGGUUGACCUCGGAUCAGGUAGGAAGACCCGCUGAACUUAAGCAUAUCAAUAAGCGGAGGA